rnacentral:rRNA from 1 species
UACGUAGGGUGCAAGCGUUGUCCGGAAUUAUUGGGCGUAAAGAGCUCGUAGGCGGUUUGUCGCGUCGAAUGUGAAAACCCGGGGCUCAACCCCGGGCCUGCAUUCGAUACGGGCAGACUAGAGUUCGGUAGAGGAGUCUGGAAUUCCUGGUGUAGCGGUGAAAUGCGCAGAUAUCAGGAGGAACACCGGUGGCGAAGGCGGGACUCUGGGCCGAUACUGACGCUGAGGCACGAAGGCGUGGGGAGCGAACGGG